rnacentral:rRNA from 1 species
GAUGAACGCUGGCGGCGUGCCUAAUACAUGCAAGUCGAGCGAACGGACGAGAAGCUUUCUUCUCUGAUGUUAGCGGCGGACGGGUGAGUAAUACGUGGUUAACCUCCCUAUAAGACUGGGAUAAUUUCGGGAAACCGGAGCUACUACCGCAUGAUAUUUUGAAUCGCAUGGUUCAUAAGUGAAAGACGGUCUUGCUGUCACUUAUAGAUGGAUCCGCGCUGCAUUAGCUAGUUGGUAAGGUAAUGGCUUACCAAGGCAGCGAUGCAUAGCCGACCUGAGAGGGUGAUCGGCCACACUGGAACGGAGACACGAUCCAGACGCCUACGGCAGGCGGCAGUAGGGAAGCUUCCGGAAUGGGCGAAAGCCUGACGGAGCAGCGCCGCGUGAGUGAUGAAGGUCUUCGGAUCGUAAAACUCUGUUAUUAGGGAAGAACAUAGGUGUAAGUAACUGUGCACAGCUUGACGGUACCUAAUCAGAAAGCCACGGCUAACUACGUG